rnacentral:rRNA from 1 species
UAUUAAAGUUGUUGCGGUUAAAAAGCUCGUAGUUGAAUCUGUGUCUCGCGCUGUCGGUUCACCGCCCGCGGUGUUAAACUGGCACGCCCGCGAGACGUCCUGCCGGUGGGACGGUGCGGCCCGCGUCGUUCGCGGCGCGUGGUCGCCGGUCCCGGCUACAAAUCCUACCGCGGUGCUCUUCACUGAGUGUCGAGGUGGGCCGGCACGUUUACUUUGAACAAAUUAGAGUGCUCAAAGCAGGCUAAAACUUCGCCUGAAUACCGUGUGCAUGGAAUAAUGGAACAGGACCUCGGUUCUAUUUUGUUGGUUUUCGGAACCCCGAGGUAAUGAUUAAUAGGGACAGAUGGGGGCAUUCGUAUUGCGACGUUAGAGGUGAAAUUCUUGGACGUCGCAAGACGAACAGAAGCGAAAGCAUUUGCCAAAAAUGUUUUCAUUAAUCAAGAACGAAAGUCAGAGGUUCGAAGGCGAUCAGAUACCGCCCUAGUUCUGACCAUAAACGAUGCCAGCUAGCGAUCCGCCGACGUUCCUCCGAUGACUCGGCGGGCAGCUUCCGGGAAACCAAAGCUUUUGGGUUCCGGGGGAAGUAUGGUUGCAAAGCUGAAACUUAAAGGAAUUGACGGAAGGGCACCACCAGGAGUGGAGCCUGCGGCUUAAUUUGACUCAACACGGGAAACCUCACCAGGCCCGGACACCGGAAGGAUUGACAGAUUGAGAGCUCUUUCUUGAUUCGGUGGGUGGUGGUGCAUGGCCGUUCUUAGUUGGUGGAACGAUUUGUCUGGUUAAUUCCGAUAACGAACGAGACUCUAGCCUGCUAAAUAGGCGUUACUUUCCGGCAUCUCGAAGGCUCGCGUCUCCCGUUCGCCGGUGCGGGCGGUUCCCGCCUCGCGCGGCGUUUCGGCGUUCGCGCGCGCGUCCGCUCGUCCGGUCGGGAGUUCGCGGUUUUUACUGCCGGCGUAAACAUGAAUCUUCUUAGAGGGACAGGCGGCUCCUAGCCGCACGAGAUUGAGCAAUAACAGGUCUGUGAUGCCCUUAGAUGUUCUGGGCCGCACGCGCGCUACACUGAAGGAAUCAGCGUGUCCUCCCUGGCCGAACGGUCCGGGUAACCCGCUGAACCUCCUUCGUGCUAGGGAUUGGGGCUUGCAAUUGUUCCCCAUGAACGAGGAAUUCCCAGUAAGCGCGAGUCAUAAGCUCGCGUUGAUUACGUCCCUGCCCUUUGUACACACCGCCCGUCGCUACUACCGAUUGAAUGAUUUAGUGAGGUCUUCGGACCGGUACGCGGCGAGGUUUCGACGUCGCCGAUGUCGCUGGGAAGAUGACCAAACUUGAUCAUUU